rnacentral:rRNA from 1 species
UACGAAGGGGGCUAGCGUUGCUCGGAAUCACUGGGCGUAAAGGGUGCGUAGGCGGGUUUUUAAGUCAGGGGUGAAAUCCUGGAGCUCAACUCCAGAACUGCCUUUGAUACUGAGGGUCUUGAGUUCGGGAGAGGUGAGUGGAACUGCGAGUGUAGAGGUGAAAUUCGUAGAUAUUCGCAAGAACACCAGUGGCGAAGGCGGCUCACUGGCCCGAUACUGACGCUGAGGCGCGAAAGCGUGGGGAGCAAACAGG